UCCAGCUCUAUUUGUGCUUUGAAUAACCCUCCUCCACAGUUCCCACAAUGCACCUGCAUCCUGUCUGAUCGUACACUUCCUGUUGAUGGUCUGCAUGUCGCAGUGAAAUUUAGACUUGGUUCAACACAACUGUCAGAACAGCUGAGGUUGACCAACUGCUCUGACAUCAGUGGACCACCAAGUUCAGUCUUGUGUCAGCAGUGCAUCAAAGCUGGUUGUAGAUGGAACACAAACAGAUGUUCCUGGGCCGAUCA